GGUGGUGCAUACCUGUAAUCCCAGCUACUUGGGAGGCUGAGGCAGGAGAAUUGUUGAAACCCAGGAAACAGAAGCUGCAGUGAGCUGAGAUCGAGCCACUGCACUCCAGCCUGGCGACAGAGCAAGACUCCCAUUUCAAAAAAAAAAAAAAAAAAAAAGUAUGCAUCAUAGUUUAGCCAUUUGUUCAUCA